rnacentral:misc_RNA from 1 species
GCAAUCACAAGCAUAAUUUGUUAGAAACCUCAUAACAACUAUGGUAAUACCAUAGCCAAAAGACAUGUACAAGAUUCACCUGCCUGAAAGAAAAGGUGCUGCCAAAUAAUUUAAUUAAAAGCAUAAAAAUUCUCGUGUUAGCAGAACAGCCACACAGAUCUACCAUUUAAUUGAAACAAGCAGCACUACCAUGAUACAAGAUGUCUGAAACCUUUUUUAUUGAAUGGCAUUUUGUUGUAUCUAUCCAAUAUUUUUG